UACGUAGGUCCCGAGCGUUGUCCGGAUUUAUUGGGCGUAAAGCGAGCGCAGGUGGUUUAUUAAGUCUGGUGUAAAAGGCAGUGGCUCAACCAUUGUAUGCAUUGGAAACUGGUAGACUUGAGUGCAGGAGAGGAGAGUGGAAUUCCAUGUGUAGCGGUGAAAUGCGUAGAUAUAUGGAGGAACACCGGGGGCGAAAGCGGCUCUCUGGCCUGUAACUGACACUGAGGCUCGAAAGCGUGGGGAGCAAACAGG
rnacentral:rRNA from 1 species